rnacentral:rRNA from 1 species
UACGUAGGCGGAAUAUUAAGUCAGUGGUGAAAUCCUGCGGCUCAACCGUAGAACUGCCAUUGAUACUGAUAUUCUUGAAUAUAGUUGAGGUAGGCGGAAUGUGUAAUGUAGCGGUGAAAUGCUUAGAUAUUACACAGAACACCGAUUGCGAAGGCAGCUUACUAAACUAUUAUUGACGCUGAUGUACGAAAGCGUGGGGAGCAAACAGGAUUAGAUACCCUGGUAGUCC